UACGGAGGGGACUAGCGUUGUUCGGAAUUACUGGGCGUAAAGCGCGCGUAGGCGGAUUUGUAAGUCAGGGGUGAAAUCCCGGGGCUCAACCUCGGAACUGCCUUUGAUACUGCAAAUCUCGAGUCCGGAAGAGGUGAGUGGAAUUCCUAGUGUAGAGGUGAAAUUCGUAGAUAUUAGGAAGAACACCAGCGGCGAAGGCGGCUCACUGGUCCGGUACUGACGCUGAGGUGCGAAAGCGUGGGGAGCAAACAGG
rnacentral:rRNA from 1 species